CCUACGGGAGGCAGCAGUAAGGAAUAUUGGUCAAUGGAGGCAACUCUGAACCAGCCAUGCCGCGUGCAGGAAGACUGCCCUAUGAGUUGUAAACUGCUUUUAUCCGGGAAUAAACCUGCUUACGUGUAAGUAGCUGAAUGUACCGGAAGAAUAAGGAUCGGCUAACUCCGUGCCAGCAGCCGCGGUAAUACGGAGGAUCCAAGCGUUAUCCGGAUUUAUUGGGUUUAAAGGGUGCGUAGGCGGCCUGUUAAGUCAGGGGUGAAAGACGGUAGCUCAACUAUCGCAGUGCCCUUGAUACUGAUGGGCUUGAAUGGACUAGAGGUAGGCGGAAUGAGACAAGUAGCGGUGAAAUGCAUAGAUAUGUCUCAGAACACCGAUUGCGAAGGCAGCUUACUAUGGUCUUAUUGACGCUGAGGCACGAAAGCGUGGGGAUCAAACAGGAUUAGAUACCCUGGUAGUCCACGCCCUAAACGAUGAACACUACNCUGUGGUCGAUACACAGUCAGCGGCGAAGACGAAAGACGUUAAGUUAGUUCCGUACCGUACGGGAGGUACGGCCCGCCGAACGGGUAGGUAAACGUUAAAAGUUAAGUAAGUUAGUACGGACGUAGAGACGUUAGCGACGGACGACGACGAGGGAGGAGG
rnacentral:rRNA from 1 species